rnacentral:snRNA from 1 species
GAUCCGGUCAGUCCCGGUAGAAA